UCUUUGUAGAGUUCCUUGAGGCAG
rnacentral:piRNA from 1 species